GACGAACGCUGGCGGCGUGCUUAACACAUGCAAGUCGAGCGGUAAGGCCCUUUCGGGGGUACACGAGCGGCGAACGGGUGAGUAACACGUGGGCGACCUGCCCUCAGCUCUGGGAUAAGCCUGGGAAACCGGGUCUAAUACCGGAUAUGACUCCAUGACGCAUGUUGUGGGGUGGAAAGCCUUGUGCGGCUGAGGAUGGGCCCGCGGCCUAUCAGCUUGUUGGUGGGGUGAUGGCCUACCAAGGCGACGACGGGUAGCCGGCCUGAGAGGGCGACCGGCCACACUGGGACUGAGACACGGCCCAGACUCCUACGGGAGGCAGCAGUGGGGAAUCUUGCGCAAUGGGCGAAAGCCUGACGCAGCGACGCCGCGUGAGGGAUGACGGCCU
rnacentral:rRNA from 1 species